rnacentral:rRNA from 1 species
GAACUGAAGAGUUUGAUCAUGGCUCAGAUUGAACGCUGGCGGCAGGCCUAACACAUGCAAGUCGAGCGGUAGAGGGGUGCUUGCACCUCUUGAGAGCGGCGGACGGGUGAGUAAUGCCUAGGAAUCUGCCUGGUAGUGGGGGAUAACGCUCGGAAACGGACGCUAAUACCGCAUACGUCCUACGGGAGAAAGCAGGGGACCU